GGCGCUGAAAAUCGGCGUCCUUAGUUACUACUUUCCCGGGAAAUGGCUGGAGGUUUCCAACACACCGCCAGCUCAGCCCUAAUCUCCCGCCAUAAAGCGACCUCUCCGCGCAACAAGCUCAAACUCACAAAGCUGCGCUUGGUUGCAAUGCUAAGCGUCUCCAUCUUUCCUAAAGAUGUUCAUAUCAUUGUAGUUAAGGGCAGGAGUGACAAAUUUAUUUUGGCUCAAGGGCCAUAUUCCCCCUUGGCCAAUUCUCCAGGGGCUGCAUGCCAUCAGUACGUGAUGCCAAAAGUGGAUGUGGCCAACUCACACCUUCGCACAGAAUUUAUACAAAGCUACAGUCCAGUUAGCUUACCAUCUCUUUGCCAUGUAAACUGAUGGAAAGCAUGAUUAAAGUUAAUCAAAGAC